rnacentral:lncRNA from 1 species
UUUUUCUGGCAUGAUGUGCUGUGAUACUACAGACUCAGAGCAGCAGUGACAAGAGACCACAGAAUGGAAUUUUGACAUCACCCAGAAGAAAUGAAAGAGAAAGAAAAUGGAAGGAGUCUGAGAAUCUCGUAAUACGCGGCUUUCAAUCGACAAUACAAACCAUUUGGAUGUGUCCAUGGUGGAGAAGAGCCACAGUGUAAUUAUUAGCCUCA